CCGAAUCGAACCAGACCCUGGAAGUGCCUCUGAACAGGAGUCAGAGGAUGGAGAAACACAUCAAGGACCCUCAGAUUCCAAGACCCCAGGCUGUGAGAGCUUUCUGCAAAGCAGCAGAUAAACUUUAAAGUAAGUUUGUCUUGUCAAAAGAAAUCAUAUUGCUGCUUUAACUGGAAUUGCUUUGAAUGAGGAAAACUGAAAUUUUUACAGCACUGAG
ensembl:lncRNA